UGAAAGUUGACCUUAAGGCGUCAGAAAAUUGAAAGGUCAAAUUUGGACCCAGCCUGUAAGUUAAACCAGAAAAUUGUGGGGAUAGGAGUGGAAGAAGAUACUCUUGUCAGAGUGUGGUAACCAAAUUCUUGUGUGCUGUCAAAAAAUACUGGUCUCUAAAUCAGUACCUUCAAUACUGAGGUUGCAUUUCAACCAGCACCAGGCACAAGUGAGAAAGAACCAGACACUACCCUUCACAGCACCAAUCACAAGGCUGUAGAAAGAUUCCCACACCUUGAAAGUAUGUUCUGUAGGAAUACAAAUUCUAUCAACAGCCAACACCACGAUUGUAUCAGGAAACAGUGUGACAUUGAGCUGAAGAUGAAAUAAACUGCACUCGACCACUGUCUUUCCCAAGCUGCUGAAUUGUGUAGGAUCCUGGGUCAGCUGUAAGUACAUCAAAGCUCUGAACUUCUCCACAAGAAGCAUCAAGAUCCAUGGUAAAAUGGCAGGACAAGAUCAUAAAAACUGAGAUUCUCCAUGUAAUAAGAGCAAAAUGUUGCAGCUGUUGAUGAUCUGAAAUAAAAACAAAGUGCUGGUGAAACUCAGUACGACUUGCAGAGUUUGUGGAGAGUGUAACAGAGCUAACACUUCAAGUCCAAUAUGACUUCACACUAGUUUUCAAUCUCAAAAAAACUAUUAAGUUCAUGUCAAGUGUUUGAUAGUUUAUGCAAGUGUUUUAUUAAUUACCAUAUAUGUUACAUAUGUGUCAGUGGUCCCAUAUCACAUUGCUGUUGUCCAUGUCACAGUGUCACACUGCACUCUUCACCCCUUGUGAAUAUAUAUUUCUAUUGGUGUUCAUUUUAUUGCCUGUAAAGACUAUCAUCUAAUUUCUGUAUCUUUUAUUGUUGUCUAAAAUGAGAAAGGGAUUGUUUUAAAACUAGGGAUCAUGGAAGAACUUCCUGUGCUUUUAAAAAUAAGUUCCUGAAACUCAUUGUGUGUGGUAUUUAUACUGCUAUUUUGUUCAUCCAGUGGGGAGGGGAAGCUUUUUGUGGAUGGUUGCUACAAAUGUGUAGUUUUUUAAAUCAAUCUGUUCAGGUGCAUUUUGACACAUCUCUGGAGUAGAUGGGAUGUGAAUCCAGGUCUCCUGACACAGAUGUAGGGGCACUACCACUAUGCCACAAGAACCAUUAUGUCACCAGGGUAUAUAUGCUGACUGGGAUCUGGCUGUCAAUAAGUUACAGAUUUGUUUGUGCAAUUGUGACCCAAAAAUGAGGUUGAAGAUCAUCAGCCUGACAAUAAGUCUCUCACUGGUUCCUGGAUAGCUGACAGCUUGGGGUAAACAAAACAUUGAUAAACCUUUGAUCCUUUGGAAGGCAUGGUGGUAUGUCUAUCUCUCUGCAGUAAAAUGCCUGAAAUAUGAAGAAAACCAGUCAUAUUCCCUUACCCAUUGCUGUAAGCUGUGGUCUUUAACAAGUAACUGAGAGACUUUACAGUUAGCGUACUAAUCACACUGUGCUUCCUGUGAAGAAAUUCAAAGAACUUGGAGACAGGAGACUGAAGAACAGAGAGUCCUUGCAAUCUCAAUGAAUCCUGUGGACUGGUGCUAUUGAAUUGUGAUUCCCAGUGGGUUUUUUUUCUCCAUUGGUGAAACCAAUGUUUAUUUGUUUGUCUGCAUCUAUUUACAUAUUAAAAAGAGGGUUAUAUUUUUAACUUGUAGAGUUAGAUGUCAAUAAUUCACUUGUUGCUAUGGUUGGUUUGUUCACCGAACUGGUUCGUUAGUUUGCAGAUGUUUCAUUGCCCUGCUGGGUAAGAUCAUCAGCGCAGCCUCUGAUGAAGCGCUGUGCUGUUUUCCUGCCAGGUAUUUAAAUGCUGGGGUCCAUUGGAAUUGGUUACCUCAUUUCUGUUUUUUCUUUGCAGUGGUGUAUUGGCUUCAUGCGCUGAUGAUGUUACCCAGCAGGGUAAUAAAACGUCUGCAAACUAAUGAACCAGUUCGGCGAGCGAACCAACCAUAGCAUACACAACCCGAGCUACAAAUCUACUCAAGGUCCUUAGAAUUCAGUUGUUUACCUAGAGUGAUAAAAUCAUUUAUUUAUAAUAAAUAUGAGUUCUUGUUGGGGUCAGAAA